CACCCAUAUAAAAUAUUUACUUCUCCUACAACCUCUCUUAUAUUGAUUAGGCGAUUACUGAGAACAGUCGCGUCUUUAAUUUCUGCCACAUUUGAAGGACGUUCAUUCCCCAUAUGUUAGGACGCUCGGUUCUUUCGUCGUUCUCAACGUCUUCACGGCCUUCAUUAAAACGUUUAUACUAUUCAGUAACACCAAGUGUAGACAUUAAAUUCGUUAAAAGGAUUUUGUAUCAUUAUCACUAUUUUAUUACACUUAAUUCCAUUUUUAACACAAACCAAGAUACAAAUUCUUUGUUCCUUCAUUUUUAAAAUACAGACAACACGUAUCGGUCAAACAUUUACUUAUGCUGAAUCAUUAAAAAUUUAAUCUUCAACAAGAUAACAAAAAAUGUAAAACUAAAUAUAAAUAUCACACGUUACUUUUUAUCAUAUCUCAUACAAUAUCCUUUGACUGAUAACAUAAGUGAUAAACG